rnacentral:rRNA from 1 species
UGAUCCUGGCUCAGAACGAACGCUGGCGGCAGGCUAAUACAUGCAAGUCGAGCGCGCCUUCGGGGUGAGCGGCGGACGGGUGAGUAACGCGUGGGAAUAUGCCUUCUCUAAGGAAUAGCCUCUGGAAACGGAGAGUAAUACCUUAUACGCCCUUUGGGGGAAAGAUUUAUCGGAGAAGGAUUAGCCCGCGUUAGAUUAGGUAGUUGGUGGGGUAAUGGCCUACCAAGCCUACGAUCUAUAGCUGGUUUGAGAGGAUGAUCAGCCACACUGGGACUGAGACACGGCCCAGACUCCUACGGGAGGCAGCAGUAGGGAAUCUUAGACAAUGGGGGCAACCCUGAUCUAGCCAUGCCGCGUGUGUGAUGAAGGCCCUAGGGUCGUAAAGCACUUUCGCCAGAGAUGAUAAUGACAGUAUCUGGUAAAGAAACCCCGGCUAACUCCGUGCCAGCAGCCGCGGUAAUACGGAGGGGGUUAGCGUUGUUCGGAAUUACUGGGCGUAAAGCGCACGUAGGCGGAUUAGUAAGUUAGAGGUGAAAUCCCAGGGCUCAACCCUGGAACUGCCUUUAAUACUGCUAGUCUUGAGUUCGAGAGAGGUAAGUGGAAUUCCGAGUGUAGAGGUGAAAUUCGUAGAUAUUCGGAGGAACACCAGUGGCGAAGGCGGCUUACUGGCUCGAUACUGACGCUGAGGUGCGAAAGUGUGGGGAGCAAACAGGAUUAGAUACCCUGGUAGU